GCGUCUGAUUAGCUAGUUGGCGGGGUAACGGCCCACCAAGGCAACGAUCAGUAGCCGGCCUGAGAGGGUGAUCGGCCACACUGGAACUGAGACACGGUCCAGACUCCUACGGGAGGCAGCAGUGGGGAAUUUUGCGCAAUGGGCGAAAGCCUGACGCAGCAACGCCGCGUGGGUGAUGAAGGUCUUCGGAUCGUAAAACCCUGUCGUCGGGGACGAAGGUAGCUUAGUUAACAGCUGAGUUGCUUGACGGUACCCGGAGAGGAAGCCCCGGCUAACUCUGUGCCAGCAGCCGCGGUAAUACAGAGGGGGCAAGCGUUAUUCGGAAUUAUUGGGCGUAAAGGGCGCGUAGGCGGUUUUUUAAGUCAGAUGUGUAAUCCCCGAGCUCAACUUGGGAACUGCAUCUGAGACUGGAAGGCUAGAGUACUGGAGAGGGUGGUAGAAUUCCACGUGUAGCGGUGAAAUGCGUAGAGAUGUGGAGGAAUACCAGUGGCGAAGGCGGCCACCUGGACAGUAACUGACGCUGAGGCGCGAAAGUGUGGGUAGCAAACAGGAUUAGAUACCCUGGUAGUCCACGCUGUAAACGAUGAACACUUGGUGUGGUGGGAGUUGACCCCUGCCGUGCCGGAGCUAACGCGUUAA
rnacentral:rRNA from 1 species